AUGCAAGUCGAACGCUUUUUCUUUCACCGGAGCUUGCUCCACCGAAAGAAAAAGAGUGGCGAACGGGUGAGUAACACGUGGGUAACCUGCCCAUCAGAAGGGGAUAACACUUGGAAACAGGUGCUAAUACCGUAUAACACUAUUUUCCGCAUGGAAGAAAGUUGAAAGGCGCUUUUGCGUCACUGAUGGAUGGACCCGCGGUGCAUUAGCUAGUUGGUGAGGUAACGGCUCACCAAGGCAACGAUGCAUAGCCGACCUGAGAGGGUGAUCGGCCACACUGGGACUGAGACACGGCCCAGACUCCUACGGGAGGCAGCAGUAGGGAAUCUUCGGCAAUGGACGAAAGUCUGACCGAGCAACGCCGCGUGAGUGAAGAAGGUUUUCGGAUCGUAAAACUCUGUUGUUAGAGAAGAACAAGGAUGAGAGUAAAAUGUUCAUCCCUUGACGGUAUCUAACCAGAAAGCCACGGCUAACUACGUGCCAGCAGCCGCGGUAAUACGUAGGUGGCAAGCGUUGUCCGGAUUUAUGGGGCGUAAAGCGAGCGAAGGCGGUUUCUUAAGUCUGAUGGGGAAGCCCCC
rnacentral:rRNA from 1 species